UACAGAGGUGGCAAGCGUUGUUCGGAAUUACUGGGCGUAAAGGGCGCGUAGGCGGUUCGUUAAGUCCGCUGUGAAAGUCGGGGGCUCAACCCUCGAAUGCCGGUGGAUACUGUCGGGCUAGAGUGCGGAAGAGGCGAGUGGAAUUCCUGGUGUAGCGGUGAAAUGCGCAGAUAUCAGGAGGAACACCGAUUGCGAAGGCAGCUCGCUGGGACGUAACUGACGCUGAGACGCGAAAGCGUGGGGAGCAAACAGG
rnacentral:rRNA from 1 species